rnacentral:rRNA from 1 species
CCGCGUGUAUGAAGAAGGCCUUCGGGUUGUAAAGUACUUUCAGCGGGGAGGAAGGGAGUAAAGUUAAUACCUUUGCUCAUUGACGUUACCCGCAGAAGAAGCACCGGCUAACUCCGUGCCAGCAGCCGCGGUAAUACGGAGGGUGCAAGCGUUAAUCGGAAUUACUGGGCGUAAAGCGCACGCAGGCGGUUUGUUAAGUCAGAUGUGAAAUCCCCGGGCUCAACCUGGGAACUGCAUCUGAUACUGGCAAGCUUGAGUCUCGUAGAGGGGGGUAGAAUUCCAGGUGUAGCGGUGAAAUGCGUAGAGAUCUGGAGGAAUACCGGUGGCGAAGGCGGCCCCCUGGACGAAGRCUGACGCUCAGGUGCGAAAGCGUGGGAGCAAACAGAUUAGAUACCCUGGUAGUCCCACGCCGUAAAACGAAUKGUUCCGAMCUUUG